AUUCAUGGAAGAAAAUGUAUUGCUGAUUAUAUAUCGGAUACUAGAAGGUACGAUUUCGAUAAUGCUAAUAUUGCUAUCUCUGUUCCUUAUUGCGCGGAACGCUGCCCACUACGUAACUGGUGUACGCAUAUAUCCACUUAUAUACAUUAUGCUAAAAGUUACAGGUGGUCACUAUUAUUAUAACAAUAUAAGCACUGGGUAACCGUAAAUACAAAACGUACUAAAUAUAAAACGUAUUGUCGGAUGGAUGUUUUUGGUUGGAAAUGUAUUGAAAUCCGAUUUUCCGACAGACAAUAUAACACCCAAUAAUUGCCACGCCGCCGAAACAAAUUAAUACAAUUUAAAA